rnacentral:rRNA from 1 species
GACGAACGCUGGCGGCGUGCUUAACACAUGCAAGUCGAACGGAAAGGCCUCUUUCGGGGGGUACUCGAGUGGCGAACGGGUGAGUAACACGUGAGUAACCUGCCCUUGACUUUGGGAUAACUUCAGGAAACUGGGGCUAAUACCGGAUAGGAGCUCCUGCUGCCUGGUGGGGGUUGGAAAUUUUCGGCGGUUGGGGAUGGACUCGCGGCUUAUCAGCUUGUUGGUGGGGUAGUGGCUUACCAAGGCUUUGACGGGUAGCCGGCCUGAGAGGGUGACCGGCCACAUUGGGACUGAGAUACGGCCCAGACUCCGACGGGAGGAAGCAGUGGGGAAGAUUGAACAAUGGGUGGAAGCCGGAUGCAGCAACGCCGUGUGCGGGAUGACGGCCUUCGGGUUGUAAACCGCUUUCGCUCAUGACGAAGCUUUGUGUGACGGUAGUGGGUAAAGAAGCACCGGCUAACUACGUG